ACUAAGCGUACACGGUGGAUGCCCUGGCAGUCAGAGGCGAUGAAGGACGUGCUAAUCUGCGAUAAGCGUCGGUAAGGUGAUAUGAACCNCACACUAUCAUUAACUGAAUCCAUAGGUUAAUGAGGCGAACCGGGGGAACUGAAACAUCUAAGUACCCCGAGGAAAAGAAAUCAACCGAGAUUCCCCCAGUAGCGGCGAGCGAACGGGGAGCAGCCCAGAGCCUGAAUCAGUGUGUGUGUUAGUGGAAGCGUCUGGAAAGGCGCGCGAUACAGGGUGACAGCCCCGUACACAAAAAUGCACAUACUGUGAGCUCGAUGAGUAGGGCGGGACACGUGGUAUCCUGUCUGAAUAUGGGGGGACCAUCCUCCAAGGCUAAAUACUCCUGACUGACCGAUAGUGAACCAGUACCGUGAGGGAAAGGCGAAAAGAACCCCGGCGAGGGGAGUGAAAAAGAACCUGAAACCGUGUACGUACAAGCAGUGGGAGCNGUGACUGCGUACCUUUUGUAUAAUGGGUCAGCGACUUAUAUUCUGUAGCAAGGUUAACCGAAUAGGGGAGCCGAAGGGAAACCGAGUCUUAACUGGGCGUUAAGUUGCAGGGUAUAGACCCGAAACCCGGUGAUCUAGCCAUGGGCAGGUUGAAGGUUGGGUAACACUAACUGGAGGACCGAACCGACUAAUGUUGAAAAAUUAGCGGAUGACUUGUGGCUGGGGGUGAAAGGCCAAUCAAACCGGGAGAUAGCUGGUUCUCCCCGAAAGCUAUUUAGGUAGCGCCUCGUGAAUUCAUCUCCGGGGGUAGAGCACUGUUUCGGCAAGGGGGUCAUCCCGACUUACCAACCCGAUGCAAACUGCGAAUACCGGAGAAUGUUAUCACGGGAGACACACGGCGGGGGCUAACGUCCGUCGUGAAGAGGGAAACAACCCAGACCGCCAGCUAAGGUCCCAAAGUCAUGGUUAAGUGGGAAACGAUGUGGGAAGGCCCAGACAGCCAGGAUGUUGGCUUAGAAGCAGCCAUCAUUUAAAGAAAGCGUAAUAGCUCACUGGUCGAGUCGGCCUGCGCGGAAGAUGUAACGGGGCUAAACCAUGCACCGAAGCUGCGGCAGCGACACUGUGUGUUGUUGGGUAGGGGAGCGUUCUGUAAGCCUGUGAAGGUGUNAUGCUGGAGGUAUCAGAAGUGCGAAUGCUGACAUAAGUAACGAUAAAGCGGGUGAAAAGCCCGCUCGCCGGAAGACCAAGGGUUCCUGUCCAACGUUAAUCGGGGCAGGGUGAGUCGACCCCUAAGGCGAGGCCGAAAGGCGUAGUCGAUGGGAAACAGGUUAAUAUUCCUGUACUUGGUGUUACUGCGAAGGGGGGACGGAGAAGGCUAUGUUGGCCGGGCGACGGUUGUCCCGGUUUAAGCGUGUAGGCUGGUUUUCCAGGCAAAUCCGGAAAAUCAAGGCUGAGGCGUGAUGACGAGGCACUACGGUGCUGAAGCAACAAAUGCCCUGCUUCCAGGAAAAGCCUCUAAGCAUCAGGUAACAUCAAAUCGUACCCCAAACCGACACAGGUGGUCAGGUAGAGAAUACCAAGGCGUUUGAGAGAACUCGGGUGAAGGAACUAGGCAAAAUGGUGCCGUAACUUCGGGAGAAGGCACGCUGAUAUGUAGGUGAAGUCCCUCGCGGAUGGAGCUGAAAUCAGUCGAAGAUACCAGCUGGCUGCAACUGUUUAUUAAAAACACAGCACUGUGCAAACACGAAAGUGGACGUAUACGGUGUGACGCCUGCCCGGUGCCGGAAGGUUAAUUGAUGGGGUCAGCGCAAGCGAAGCUCUUGAUCGAAGCCCCGGUAAACGGCGGCCGUAACUAUAACGGUCCUAAGGUAGCGAAAUUCCUUGUCGGGUAAGUUCCGACCUGCACGAAUGGCGUAAUGAUGGCCAGGCUGUCUCCACCCGAGACUCAGUGAAAUUGAACUCGCUGUGAAGAUGCAGUGUACCCGCGGCAAGACGGAAAGACCCCGUGAACCUUUACUAUAGCUUGACACUGAACAUUGAGCCUUGAUGUGUAGGAUAGGUGGGAGGCUUUGAAGUGUGGACGCCAGUCUGCAUGGAGCCGACCUUGAAAUACCACCCUUUAAUGUUUGAUGUUCUAACGUGGACCCGUGAUCCGGGUUGCGGACAGUGUCUGGUGGGUAGUUUGACUGGGGCGGUCUCCUCCUAAAGAGUAACGGAGGAGCACGAAGGUUGGCUAAUCCUGGUCGGACAUCAGGAGGUUAGUGCAAUGGCAUAAGCCAGCUUGACUGCGAGCGUGACGGCGCGAGCAGGUGCGAAAGCAGGUCAUAGUGAUCCGGUGGUUCUGAAUGGAAGGGCCAUCGCUCAACGGAUAAAAGGUACUCCGGGGAUAACAGGCUGAUACCGCCCAAGAGUUCAUAUCGACGGCGGUGUUUGGCACCUCGAUGUCGGCUCAUCACAUCCUGGGGCUGAAGUAGGUCCCAAGGGUAUGGCUGUUCGCCAUUUAAAGUGGUACGCGAGCUGGGUUUAGAACGUCGUGAGACAGUUCGGUCCCUAUCUGCCGUGGGCGCUGGAGAACUGAGGGGGGCUGCUCCUAGUACGAGAGGACCGGAGUGGACGCAUCACUGGUGUUCGGGUUGUCAUGCCAAUGGCACUGCCCGGUAGCUAAAUGCGGAAGAGAUAAGUGCUGAAAGCAUCUAAGCACGAAACUUGCCCCGAGAUGAGUUCUCCCUGACCCUUUAAGGGUCCUGAAGGAACGUUGAAGACGACGACGUUGAUAGGCCGGGUGUGUAAGCGCAGCGAUGCGUUGAGCUAACCGGUACUAAUGAACCGUGAGGCUUAACC
rnacentral:rRNA from 1 species